rnacentral:rRNA from 1 species
UACCAGCACCCCGAGUGGUCGGGACGUUUUAUUGGGCCUAAAGCAUCCGUAGCCGGUUCUGCAAGUCUUCCGUUAAAUCCACCUGCUUAACAGAUGGGCUGCGGAAGAUACUAUAGAGCUAGGAGGCGGGAGAGGCAAGCGGUACUCGAUGGGUAGGGGUAAAAUCCGUUGAUCCAUUGAAGACCACCAGUGGCGAAGGCGGCUUGCCAGAACGCGCUCGACGGUGAGGGAUGAAAGCUGGGGGAGCAAACCGG